rnacentral:lncRNA from 1 species
ACACCUAUAUUAAGGAAAACCACAUAAAAACAGAAAAAGAAUCAACAGUUAACCAUACCGAUCAUAUGAUUAUAUCAUGGCUAUUGAGCAAGAAGUACAUACCUUGUUAUACAGAAUAACUCCCGAGGAUAGCGUUAUAUAUACUAAGAGAUACAGGUAUGUUAGCAGAAGGUGUUUGCUGAUCAUUGUACCUAUUUUGGUCCCUUUAAAUCUAAGCACUCAUGCCCUGAAUACCACGUCCUGAAAUUUGUCACUACUUAAACUAACUAAACUAGUUAUUUUACAACAAAUCGACUGAACAGGAUGCUAUAUCUGCUGAGGGUGUUCUCAUUCAUUCCCUUGAUAAGUGACAAAAAUUCGCUUUUCUGGGCAAAAUAGCUGAGGUUGCAACUCCAACAGCCAUCCGAACCUAGAAAAAAGUACCAAAAUCAAGCGGAUAGUCAGAAAUCAUUAAUCCAUCUCCAAGAAUCAUCACCAAAAGAAAAAUUAACAGCGCGACUCCAUCACAAAUGAAUUAAGGUCCAUUAUAAUCACACUUUAUCAAUAAUUUCAUCAAUAAUCUACGUUUUCCGGGAAAUACACCAAAAUUAGCAGCUACAGGCUGGCAUUGAGAAGAAACGUCCCCAAACAUUACAACAAACACGUAGCGCGCAAAGUCCAAAGUCAGUAUAUUAGUGAAUCAGCAGAAUUUGAGAAAGAUCGAACCUGAAUACUACAAUUAGAGCUGCAACUUCAACUGGGCCUCCGUAAAGCCAGUCGAUUUGAGUUGGGUCUAAGGAAAAAUCGGUGAUGACGAUUCAAUUCCUAUUAGGGGGAAACAGUACAAAAAUCUUGCUAGUCGCUCGAGGAAGUUAGAACUCUCGCAGCUAACAAUGGAUUUAGGAUCUACAAUUUUUGUGCAAUAUGUUGGAGAAAAGUAGGAUUUAGUGAGGAAAAUGUGAAAACACUGAACGAAUCUUGGGUGGCGAUGAAUCAGAGAAGUAAAAACCUCUUCCAGAUCUCAGUGCUUCGCUAAUAGUAAUGGCGAUGUGUGUUUUAUAAGUAUUUUCGUUUUCCUCUUCAGUUUUCAACCACGUUAAACUUUUCGGAUUUAUUUCUUCGCUUUU